GUCUGAGGUUAUGUAUAGAGAUAAAUGUCAUGGCAAGAAUCGCCAAAGAACUUGUGAAAGGUAUACGGGACUAUAAAUUCAUAAGCAUUUCUGACUACAUCAAGUUGCUGGAACAAUCAGUGGAGUCAGACAC